rnacentral:rRNA from 1 species
ACUGAACGCUGGCGGCGUGGAUUAGGCAUGCAAGUCGAACGGCAGCACGGACUUCGGUCUGGUGGCGAGUGGCGAACGGGUGAGUAAUGUAUCGGAACGUGCCCAGUCGUGGGGGAUAACGUAGUGAAAAUUACGCUAAUACCGCAUACGAUCUAUGGAUGAAAGCGGGGGAUCGCAAGACCUCGCGCGAUUGGAGCGGCCGAUAUCAGAUGAGGUAGUUGGUGGGGUAAAGGCCCACCAAGCCAACGAUCUGUAGCUGGUCUGAGAGGACGACCAGCCACACUGGAACUGAGACACGGUCCAGACUCCUACGGGAGGCAGCAGUGGGGAAUUUUGGCCAAUGGGCGAAAGCCUGAUCCAGCCAUUCCGCGUGCAGGAUGAAGGCCCUCGGGUUGUAAACUGCUUUUGUACAGAACGAAAAGGUUUCUACUAAUACUAGGAGCUCAUGACGGUACUGUAAGAAUAAGCACCGGCUAACUACGUGCCAGCCGCCGCCGUAA